UUGUGUCCCUUCUGGUCUGUUAACUUGUUGCCUCGCGUCUUUCGCCUUGAAUAAAAUGACGGCUUGUCUUGUACCGGAUGUGCCCGCGGUACGGAUCGCCUUAGAACAUUUAAGCGAAUUAGAUAAACGAUUGAGAGAAGAAAGUGUUUCAUUUAGUCAAGAAGCAAGUCAUCACCUGAGAGAGAUAUCUGAAGCCAUCAAAGAGCUGGAAGCAUGUAGAAAAACUGCACGUGACAAACUUGAGGUUGAAACUAUCGAGACAAGCAAACUUCGGCUUCAAACCAUUAAUGAUCAGGAUAAUA